AUGAUAAACUAUGAUGUGGAAGUAAAAAC
rnacentral:piRNA from 1 species